CUACGGGAGGCAGCAGUGAGGAAUAUUGCACAAUGGGGGGAACCCUGAUGCAGCAACGCCGCGUGGAGGAUGACGCAUUUCGGUGUGUAAACUCCUUUUAUAUGUCAAGAAAAUGACGGUAGCAUAUGAAUAAGCACCGGCUAACUCCGUGCCAGCAGCCGCGGUAAUACGGAGGGUGCAAGCGUUACUCGGAAUCACUGGGCGUAAAGGACGCGUAGGCGGGUUGGAAAGUCAGGUGUGAAAUCCUACAGCUUAACUGUAGAACUGCACUUGAAACUUCUAAUCUAGAGUAUGGGAGGGGAUAUGGAAUAAGUGGGGUAGGGAUAAACGCGGUAUAUAUCACUAGGAAUACAGAAAGCAAGGGCAAUCGCCUGAAACAUUUCUGGCGCAAGGGAGUGAAGCCGUGGGGAGCAAACGGGAUGAGAUCCCCGGGUAGUC
rnacentral:rRNA from 1 species